GCCACCGCUGCCACCAUCACCCGCAUCUCCCCUCCCCCAUUGGAAAUCAAUGCUGAAAUUCACAAUCUCUGGAGCUAUUCAGUGCUGGGCGCUUGGAUGUCAGGAGGGAGAAAUGUUGUCCCAGGGAGUGUCUGACUAGUUCUGCAGCUUGGCAAAAAAGCCAGACGUUACCUCAUAGCUGUGGCCAGACAGCCUAUUUCUAUGCCAAACAACCGAUGCACUAGCGCAGCGCAGUGCCUGCCUGAUUAGCCCUUCUGCCGCUUUCUAGAGGCCUGGAGUGUUUUGUUCAAGGGCUUCAUCAUUUAGCCUUGAGGGAAUACUUUCAACUGAGGACUAACUUGAUACUGACCAAAUAUUUGAGGAAGAGGGCAAGAAACCAAAAGAAGCCGCCAUGUUUCUAUUUAAUCCGAUCGUCUUGGUCACAAGAAGUCUAAAAAAUGGAGCAAAUCAAAAGAACAGAUGGCAAUGCCUUGCAAACUCUUUCUCUCUGUCAAUACACAUUUUUGAGAAACACCAGCUUUUUUCUAAAAUUUGAAGAAUGCUCGAUUUUCUUCUAGGACACAAAUGUUAUGCUGAUGGGCCUCCAUUUGUCCCAAGAGCCCCACAGGGGUUGAAGUGUUCACAAAGAGCCUGGUGGACAGGAAGACUCGUGACAGUGUCUGUCUUGAAACCCUUAACGAUCAUUCAUGUCUAUAGUGAGUGAGUUGGAUAUUUAUGGGCCUUUCCAGCUGAUAAGAAAUCAAUA